AGAAUUCUUAAAAGGUUAAGAAAGUAUUCCUAUUUUUCUUUGUCUUUUUUUUAAUUCUUUUUGUAGGGAUUUUAAUCGAUGCUUUUGGCUCAAAAGGUAGUUGUGAUUGUUCUUAGUGAUGGUCUUUUGGGUGUUUAUGACUUGCACUAAAUUGUCUUUGGCAAUUUAUGUUUCCAUUUUCUAGUUUCCUUGAACUUGAUCCACUAAUAUUCAAUGCUUUCUGAUUAAUUUUAUUUUGCAUUGAAACCGUGUAUUUGCUUUGUUCUAUUGCUAGAUCCCAGUGCACUUGGAUUGUGUGUAUAUUAAUCAUUUGUUUGUGACAUAAUGUUGGUA
rnacentral:misc_RNA from 1 species